GCCCCGCCGCCCCGCCGCCCCGCCGCCCCGCCGCCCGAGGGCUGCAGCCGGCGCUCCCGGCCGGGCCCGGGCCCGCGGCGCCCCGGAGCGAACCCCGUCUGCAAAGCACACCCGCGCCGACGCGUACGAGCAGCGGCGCGACUGGCGGGCUGCAGCGCGGGGGAUGGGGGGGAGGGGGGCAUCCUGGCCUCGGGGAUAACGAUUUGGGAACCGGCUUCCAGCACCCUUUGCCCCCCCACCCCCACCCCGGUUCCGCCGCUUUGCCUCCCUCCUGCCCGCCGCCGCCCCCCCUCCCGAGGGGGGUGGGGAGAGACGACUGGGCGCCCGAAGCCCGAGCGUUCCCUCCAGCGGCUCCGGCGCCGCGGGGCCUACGCCCGCCCUCGGUGGGCUCCGCUCGCGGUCCCCCCGGAGCGCGCGCAGGGACAGCCACCAACUCCGCACCUCAGUUUGUAAAACCACCUGGCGACGUGCGCACCCUGGUGCCGCCGUCCCCGCCCGCGUGCAAACUCCGCGCCCCUCUUCCAGGUUCCCUCCGAGUCUCCCCGCCCCCAGCCAGGUGCCGGCCUCCCCGCUGUCCCCGCUCUUCUGCCGUCCAGCAGCUGCUCUCCCGCGACGUCGCCCUGCAGAAUAUGGGCAGCGCUGAGUGGGGCUGUGUUUUGUAAAUUAGGCAACACUGGAGACACGCGGACGAGUACAGAAAAUAGUAUUGACGACACCCACGGCCCCCACUCGAGAUUAAACCUAAAACACUCUGCUCCACUUGCUUGGUAUUUAUUAAAGAAAGAUAAAUUUAGACCUAACUAAAGCCCCACCCUUAUUCUUUCUCUUUCCUCCCUAGUCGCUGUUGUGCGUAUCGUUCUACUCAUGUUUUUAUAGUUUUAUUACGUAUGAUACAUGAAUCUGCCAACUGCACUGAGUACCAACUUCUGUUUUUUAGUUUUACAAAAAUGACAUCAUGCUGAAUAGUCUUUUGCAACCUUUGUCGUUUCCUAUUAUGUUUUUGAGAUUCGUUUAUGAUUUAACUGCUGUGUAGUAGUAUUUCAUUGUUUUUCACAUGUCUCAGAGCAUAUAGCUGGAUUGCUUAGAAUUUUUAGUAUGAGACUUUAUCUCUGCUAGCUAGAGUUUAGCUUGUUUUGUUAUGAUUGGAUUAAUUUUAAUUAUAACUGAAUUCUUCUGUUUUAUUUUGUGUUGUUUACCAUACUUUUUCUUCUUACUUUCUGCUUUCCUGUUAAUGUUGUCUGGGUUCAGUUUCAGAGAACAGAAUUCAUUCUGGAAACUUUAAGUACAAAAGGAUUUACUCUAGGGUAUAAAAUGGCUUAAGGAUUUCUCUGGAGGGUGAAGAUUCUAGGUUGGACAUUCAGGAGUGACUUUGGGAGCCACUUUGAGACUCUGAGAGCAGAACCAGGCCACCAGAAGAGCCACUGCCCCUUCUGAAAUCUGGAAGCUACUUACUGAAUUGGAAAGCUGUCCCUACAGCUGCCAGCUUCUGAACCUGUACAGCUAUUGUGAUGAUAAGACUCCACUGAAGAGAAAUCAGACACCUCCCCGGCUGUCCUCACAAACAGAAACAGCACACACCCAGACCCUGCUUCACUUUCGCCUUACAAACCAAAUCAGAGAGAAAAUCUGAUUGGAAGAGCCAAAAUGGCAUCCAGAAUCCCAGCUUUCGAAAUACAGCAAGGCACAGUUGGACGUCGGAAUGGGCUUAGUGUGCUGAUGUUUUAUGAUGAUGUGCCUUGGUGUGGAGCUUUCGUUGUCCGCUGUGCAGGGCGGCGAUACGUGUGCAGAAACCGGACACCUCACCCUUCAGUUCUGAAAACCCGUCUUAUUGUUUGGUAAUUUUCACUUACUUUGCUCUCUCUUUCUGGAAUAUCUAUCAGUCAGCUAACAGAUCUUCUACAAUGCUCUUCCAAUUUUCUUCUAUUUUCUAUUUCUUUUCAUCUCGUUGUUGUUGUUCUGUCUCCUGAUACGGUUUCUCAACUUUAUCCUCUGACCCUUCUAUUCAACUUUUAUUUCUGUGAUUAUCUUUUUAAUUUCUAAGCGCUUUUUCCUGGUUUCCGAAUGUUUCUUUUCUAACAGCAUCCUGUACGCAUUUCAUAGACGUGCUAUUAAUUACAGGUUGUUUCUGCUUUUACAUUUUCUUCUACUCCUUACAUUGUCUGCCUCUGUCUUGUCGGAGGUCAGUUUUUUAGUUUGUUCACUUUGAUCUCCAUCGAGAGGCUUUCCCCAAAUCUCUGGUGAUCCUUUACUCUAAAUUCAUAAUUUACACAGAGAUGCUAAAUAUGUAUAAUUCCUUGUUUCUGGAAAUAAAAAUGUUUUAAAAUAUGUA